GACGUAGGAUGCAAGCGUUGUCCGGAUUUAUUGGGCGUAAAGAGUUCGUAGGUGGUUUGUUAAGUCUGGUGUUAAAGGCGCGGGCCCAACCCGUGUACUGCACUGGAUACUGGCAGACUUGAGUAUGGUAGAGGCGAGCGGAAUUCCUGGUGUAGCGGUGAAAUGCGUAGAUAUCAGGAAGAACACCAGUUGCGUAAGCGGCUCGCUGGGCCACAACUGACACUGAGGAACGAAAGCUAGGGUAGCGAAUGGG
rnacentral:rRNA from 1 species